UAAAACCAAGCAUAUGUAAUUCAACUAGAAGCUGCUACUAGAUUGUACAAUCUUGACAUUCAGAUUGUAUCCUUUCUUAAAAGUAUGGAUGUCUAAAGACAUCCAGACAUCAUACAUAGUUUACGAAAUGCAGUGAAAUGUAAGCACCAUUGAAGCAUUGUACGACAUGGUACAAUCCACUCAUGCUUUCGGGUCAAGCACCUGCUAGGACCUUCCCCAAAUACAACUCACGUGAACAAUUUAGUUCAAUGCAUUUGUGGCCAUGGUAUAAAAUGC
rnacentral:lncRNA from 1 species